rnacentral:lncRNA from 1 species
ACUACACAGAGCUGCGGCAUUGAUCCAUACGUGGUCAUUACUCACUCCUGCGGAAACCAGGGAGCCUUUGGUUACUGGGUCUACCCGAUGGGAGACGGUAGCGCGGGAUAUCUUCAACCGGUUUGGAUGGCAGUCCAGUAAUAGGAUAGAUGAGUAGACAUCUAGGCCUAUUUUGUCGGUUGUGGCACUUUUAUAUUUAC